AGUAUGUCUAUGAUUGUGUGUUUUCAGGACGGUCUCGUUCACGUUCAAUCUCUCGUUCACGCUCUCCCCGUCGUCCAUCAGACUCUAGAAGCAGAUACAGAUCAAGGUCUUACUCUCCUGCACCAAGACGAAGAGGAGCAGACUAUUCACCAUCUCCAAGGAGAAGGCAAGAGGAACGUCCACGAU